GUCCACGCCCUAAACGAUGUCUACUAGUUGUCGGGUUUUAAUUAACUUGGUAACGCAGCUAACGCGUGAAGUAGACCGCCUGGGGAGUAUGGUCGCAAGAUUAAAACUCAAAGGAAUUGACGGGGACCCGCACAAGCGGUGGAUGAUGUGGAUUAAUUCGAUGCAACGCGAAAACCUUACCUACCCUUGACAUGGACGGAAUCCCGAAGAGAUUUGGGAGUGCUCGAAAGAGAGCCGUUACACAGGUGCUGCAUGGCUGUCGU
rnacentral:rRNA from 1 species